rnacentral:tRNA from 1 species
GUGGUGGCUCAGUGGUAGAGUGCAUGCCUAGCAUGCAUGAGGCACUGGGUUCGAUCCUUGGCACCACA